rnacentral:rRNA from 1 species
GACGAACGCUGGCGGCGUGCCUAAUACAUGCAAGUAGAACGCACAGUUUAUACCGUAGCUUGCUACACCAUAGACUGUGAGUUGCGAACGGGUGAGUAACGCGUAGGUAACCUGCCUGGUAGCGGGGGAUAACUAUUGGAAACGAUAGCUAAUACCGCAUAAUAUUAAUUAUUGCAUGAUAAUUAAUUGAAAGGUGCAAUUGCACCACUACCAGAUGGCCCUGCGUUGUAUUAGCUAGUAGGUGAGGUAACGGCUCACCUAGGCGACGAUACAUAGCCGACCUGAGAGGGUGAUCGGCCAAACUGGGACUGAGACACGGCCCAGACUCCUACGGGAGGCAGCAGUAGGGAAUCUUCGGCAAUGGACGAAAGUCUGACCGAGCAACGCCGCGGGAGUGAAGAAGGUUUUCGGAUCGUAAAGCUCUGUUGUAAGAGAAGAACGGGUGUGAGAGUGGAAAGUUCACACUGUGACGGUAUCUGACCAGAAAGGGACGGCUAACUACGUG